UGCAGCAGUGGGGAAUUUUGGGCAAUGGGCGAAGGCCUGAUCCAGCCAUAUAGUAAGAGUGAUUAAACUCUAAAGAAAACGACAAUAAUGAUAUUAGUUUUCUACUAAUCCUGACUAAUCUCGUGCCAGCAGUCGCGGUAAUACGAGAAGGAUAAGCGUAAUUCAUUAUAUCUAGGUGUAAAGGGUCUGUAGGCUGCAAAUUGCUAGAGUGAAAAAUAGGAAAGAGGAAUUAAAUAAGUAGGGAUAAAAUCCAUAAAGAUAUUUUAAGAACAUCAAAGGCGAAGGCAUCUUUCUCUUUAACACUGACGCUAAGAGACUAAAGUGUGGGUAGCGAAAAGGAUUAGAUACCCCAUUAGUCCAC
rnacentral:rRNA from 1 species